GGUCUCUGGGCAGGUCCCUGAGGGGCUCUGGACAGGUCCCUGAGGGGCUCUGGGCCUGUCCCUGAGGGGCUCUGGGGCGGACCCCAAGGGGCUCUGGGGCCGGUCCUUGAGGGGCUCUGGGCAGAUCCUUGAGGGGCUCCAGGCCUGUCCCUGAGGGGCUCUAGGGCUGACCCCGAGGGUCUCUGGGCAGGUCCUUGAAGGGCUCUGGACAGGUCCCUGAGGGGCCCUGGACAGGUCCUUGAGGGGUUCAGGCUCUGCUCAUUUUCCCUCCUCUUCCCUUCUCCAUGUGCUUCUCUUGGAUGUCUCAGUUUCCCAAGUUUCCCUUCCCAGCCUUUUCCUUGAGAUCAGCUUUCAUUACACCCCCUUGGAAAAUCCAUGGUGGGAGCCAGGCUGGCUUUUCAGGUUUGGAAUUCCUUCAUUCUGUUUUUCAACAUGUAAAGGAGAAAAUGCGUUACAUAGACAGGGUUCGAGCUGUAAAACUGAACUGGUGUUUCCAAGGGGAGUUCAUCCUUCCAAGGGAUCCAUUUCUGUGGCAGAGCAGCAGGAGCUUCCCAGAGUAACCCCAAACAGGACCUGCUGCUGCAAGAGUGGGACAACAAAGUCAUGGAGCUGCUGGAGAGAGCCCAGAGGAGCCACAGACCUGCUCCAGAGCUGCAGCCCCUCUGGAGCCAGGCUGGGAGGGCUGGGGGUGCUCACCUGGAGAGGAGCAGCUCCAGGGAGAGCUCAGAGCCCUUGCCAAGGCCUGAAGGGGCUCCAGGAGAGCUGCAGAGGGACUGGGGACAAGGAUGGAGGGACAGGAGCCAGGGAAUGGCUCCCAGUGCCAGAGGGCAGGGCUGGGUGGGAUCUUGGCAAUGAGGAAUUGUUCCCUGGCAGGGUGGGCAGGGCUGGGAUGGAAUUCCCAGAGCAGCUGGGGCUGCCCCUGGAUCCCUGGCAGUGCCCAAGGCCAGGCUGGACACUGGGGCUGGAGCAGCCUGGCACAGUGGGAGGUGUCCCUGCCAUGGCAGGGGUGGCACUGGGUGGGCUCUGAGGUCCUCCCCAACCCAAACCUAGUGUGACUCUGUGAAAUCCCAUUUCACAUCAGGCUCACAUAGCAAAAUAUCAGAAUCUGGAUCAAGGUUCCAGUGAUGGAGAUGGAAAUUGGAUUUGGGACAGAUCUCUCUGCUGGCCUCUCUGGCAGGGAUCCAGCUGCUCUGAUCAAUAAGGCUUUAUUUCAAAUCCCAAAGGAGAAUAUGCCAACAUGGGAGUACCAUCAGGACAUCAGAGCCCAGAAUAAAAUCAGCUUUCUCUGUGUUAAAGGGGAGCUCCAAACCACCUCAUCUGCUUUGUGUGUGGGAAACCUGAUCCUUUCAGUAAGACCAUUAAAAUGGUUUCAUAACUAUAUGAAAAUAUUAAAAGAAAACCACAAGUGUUGAGCUGCACAAAAACCCCAACUGUUUUCCAAAUGUUCAUAAUUCCUGGGUGUCCCUCAGUGUUAUUCCAGGUGAAAACACUGGUUCAAGAAUAAAGGCACUUCAGAAUUCCUGAGAAAUGUUUCACAAGGA